AGUUUAACUUCAUCGAGAGUUUAGGAAAAUGUGUUUGAUAAUUGAGCUUUAGCUUCAAGAUUUUGGUUUGUUGUUUGUGGAGAAGAUCUAAUAUUAAACAUGCUUCAAAUAAAAACAUCAGAAUGUUGUAAUAAUAUCAUACAAAAGUGUUAAGAUGAAGCACAUCAGAAUUACAAAUAGAGGAAAUGAAGAAAGCUCUUUACCACAGAAUAUUUGCUUCCACUAUUUUAAUUUGUCACACCUGUCUGAGCAGUGAGGAGGAAACCUGAUGAUAUGUAGAGCUGAGCUCCAUGUGACUGACUGUGUGUGUUUGCAUAUGUGUCCUGCCUCUCUGCUCCAGCUGUUAAGAGGUCAGAGUUGAUCAGUGGCUGUCCAGGCUUUUCAGAGCCACUGACACACCAGCAGCACAAUGAUGAUGUCACUGACUCUACUGCUGACCAUCAUGGGGCUCCUGGUUCAGGGUUCCUCAGCAGUCAUCACCCUGACUCAGACUCCAGGAUCUCAGUCUGUUACUCCAGGACAGACUGUCUCCUUUAGCUGUAAAGCCAGUUCACCUGUUGAUGAUGAUUUGCACUGGUACCUUCAGAAACCUGGAGCAGCUCCAAAGCUCCUUAUCUAUUCCGCUUCUUCACGUUGGACUGGAGUGUCUGAUCGUUUCACUGGAAGUGGAUAUGAUAUUGAUUUCACUCUGACCAUCAGCAGAGUUCAGGACGAAGAUGCAGGAGUUUAUUACUGUCAACAUAGUGAGAACUUCCCGUUCACACAGUGAUGCAACGUCGUACA